rnacentral:rRNA from 1 species
AUUGAACGCUGGCGGCAGGCUUAACACAUGCAAGUCGAGCGGGGGAAGGUAGCUUGCUACUGGACCUAGCGGCGGACGGGUGAGUAAUGCUUAGGAAUCUGCCUAUUAGUGGGGGACAACAUCUCGAAAGGGAUGCUAAUACCGCAUACGUCCUACGGGAGAAAGCAGGGGAUCUUCGGACCUUGCGCUAAUAGAUGAGCCUAAGUCGGAUUAGCAGGUUGGUGGGGUAAAGGCCUACCAAGGCGACGAUCUGUAGCGGGUCUGAGAGGAUGAUCCGCCACACUGGGACUGAGACACGGCCCAGACGCCUACGGGAGGCAGCAGUGGGGAAUAUUGGACAAUGGGGGGAACCCUGAUCCAGCCAUGCCGCGUGUGUGAAGAAGGCCUUAUGGUUGUAAAGCACUUUAAGCGAGGAGGAGGCUACUCUAGUUAAUACCUAGGGAUAGUGGACGUUACUCGCAGAAUAAGCACCGGCUAACUCUGUGCCAGCAGCCGCCGUAA